rnacentral:misc_RNA from 1 species
GGAAGGAUCAUUACUGAACCAACACCGUCCACCUUCUUGUAGUGGACCAUUCAACGGCCUGUCAUCGGAAUUUGAUGAUGAUCAACUCGGCUCGUUGGCCAACAUUGGGCGAUGGGUGCUUCUUGAUUUUGAUGCUCAUUUACCAGGUUGGAUUGAGACGCUCAUCACUUAGUGCCUACAUGUGGCAGACCUGUGUGGGAUGGGUGCCUUUUUCAAGAGGUUGAAGUUGGUCAGAUGUCGUGGUGGCAGGCCUUUGGUCUCCUAUGAAUUUCUUUUUCACCACACAGAACUGUCGUGUUGCCCCUAGACAUAUAAUAUAACUUUCAACAACGGAUCUCUUGGCUCUCGCAUCGAUGAAGAACGCAGCGAAAUGCGAUAAGUAAUGUGAAUUGCAGAAUUCAGUGAAUCAUCGAAUCUUUGAACGCACCUUGCGCUCCUUGGCAUUCCGAGGAGCAUGCCUGUUUGAGCGUCGUUGAAUUCUCAGAAUCCUACCUGAUCUUUCUUCAGGGAACCGGAGGUAGUUUGACACCGUUGGCUGUAGGACUUGUGGCCACCUGCACGUUGAUGGGGCUGAGCUGAGCUUGGCCAGUCUACUACCCUCCGCUGUCGUCCCCCUUGUGUUCCAUGCAGAUGUCGUGGUUGGUCUGCCAUGCAAUGCAGGGGUGAAAGAUUGGGGAGGGAGGUAGGAAACUGGCAUAAACAAUUAUUGGCCCGUUUAUCCCGAGAGCCAGGCGUUGGCUUUCAUGCUGGCGGAUUGGUGGGGAGCUGGUAGUACUACUUCCUGCCCAGCUGGAUGUGGAUUGUGGAGGAUGCAAGGCUGCCUUUGGUUUGCUUUGCUUCUCUGAAAUGGAUUGGCAUUACGGCUGCAUUGAAUUCUUAGACUCCCACGUGAGUUGCCCCUUGACGGGGAAGGGGUGGUAGCUUGACACCGUCAGACGAAGGGGUGGUGGCUUGACCUGUCAGGACUGCCACGUGGACCGUCAAGGUGGGGGAGGGGCGGGAGUAGGAUUUGCAGAGAACACCACCUCACUGGUCUUCUUGUGGCAAUCGUUUUUUUAACGGCCCUACUUGUCUGUCCCUCAUGUGGGUGGAGAUGCCUUGCUGCUCCCCAAUUGGGGGUGGUCCCCUUUGCUUCUCCUCAACGCAUUGCCAUUGCGGCCGCGGUCACGAACCUUUUGUGGGGUAUAUGAUACACACUUCUUACCUGCAUCCAACACGUGCCCGGCCAUACGAGACAAAGUCUCUAACUCUAACGAUUUGACCUCAAAUCAGGCAGGACUACCCGCUGAACUUAAGCAUAUCAAUAAGCGGAGGAAAAGAAACUAACAAGGAUUCCCCUAGUAACUGCGAGUGAAGCGGGAAGAGCUCAAAUUUAAAAUCUGGCGGCCUGUGGUCGUCCGAGUUGUAAGCUAGAGAAGUGCCGUCCGCGCUGGGGCCGUGUGCAAGUCUCCUGGAACGGAGCGUCGUGGAGGGUGAGAACCCCGUCUGUGACACGGACCUCCCAGGGCAUCGCGAUCGCGCCCUCAAAGAGUCGAGUUGUUUGGGAAUGCAGCUCCAAAUGGGUGGUAAACUCCAUCUAAAGCUAAACACUGGCGAGAGACCGAUAGCGAACAAGUACCGUGAGGGAAAGAUGAAAAGAACUUUGGAAAGAGAGUUAAACAGUACGUGAAAUUGUUGAAAGGGAAACGCUUGAAGUCAGUCGCGUCGGCCAGGGAUCAGCCCCGCAACCGCGAGGUGCACUCCCCGGUCGACGGGUCAGCACCAGUCUCGACCGCUGGAGAAAGGUCGGGGGAAUGUGGCAUCCUCGGAUGUGCUUAUAGCCCCCGAUCGCAUGCAUCGGUCGGGAUUGAGGAACUCGGCGCGCCGCAAGGCCGGGUCUCAGACCACGUCCGCGCCCAGGAUGCUGGCACAAUGGCUUUAAUCGACCCGUCUUGAAACACGGACCAAGGAGUCUAACAUGCCUGCGAGUGUUUGGGUGGAAAACCCAUGCGCGCAAUGAAAGUGAAAGUUGAGAUCCCCGUCGUGGGGAGCAUCGACGCCCGGACCAGACCUGCUGUGACGGAUCCGCGGUGGAGCAUGCAUGUUGGGACCCGAAAGAUGGUGAACUAUGCCUGAAUAGGGCGAAGCCAGAGGAAACUCUGGUGGAGGCUCGUAGCGAUUCUGACGUGCAAAUCGAUCGUCGAAUUUGGGUAUAGGGGCGAAAGACUAAUCGAACCAUCUAGUAGCUGGUUCCUGC